rnacentral:lncRNA from 1 species
GAGAAACAAAUGGGUAUGGGAUAGAAUUAAUAUGUCGUCUUUUGGCGUUCAAGCACAGGCUAGAAAUCUUCUAUAUGACUGGAGAAAGGCAUUGCAGGAGAAGCAGAAUCAUACUCCAGUAGUGUAGUCAAGCCCUCGGACAUGGACUCCACCACCAACAGGGUAUGUAAAGAUUAAUAUUGAUGCGGCUAUUUUUGCGGAAACAAAGCAUAUUGGAAUGGGUGGUGUUAUUCGAGAUGCACAGGGUAGUUUUUUGCGGGCCAGAGGACGUCAAAUUGCAGCUGAGUUUCUCCCAAAGGAAGCCGAGGCUUUGAGUCUAAAAGAAGCUUUAUAUUGGGCAAUCACAACAG